rnacentral:tRNA from 1 species
GAACCCAUGGCUCAAUGGUAGAGAGUUUGACUCAAAAACCAAAGGUAACGGGUACGAAUUCCUUUUGUUUCU